UACGAAGGGAGCUAGCGUUGUUCGGAAUCACUGGGCGUAAAGCGCACGUAGGCGGACGUGUCAGUCAGGGGUGAAAUCCCGGAGCUCAACUUCGGAACUGCCUUUGAUACAGCACGUCUUGAGUCCGGAAGAGGUGGGUGGAAUUCCUAGUGUAGAGGUGAAAUUCGUAGAUAUUCGCAAGAACACCAGUGGCGAAGGCGGCUCACUGGCCCGAUACUGACGCUGAGGCACGAAAGCGUGGGGAGCAAACAGG
rnacentral:rRNA from 1 species